rnacentral:rRNA from 1 species
GAUGAACGCUGGCGGCGUGCCUAAUACAUGCAAGUCGAGCGAACAUACGAGGAGCUUGCUCCUCUGACGUUAGCGGCGGACGGGUGAGUAACACGUGGAUAACCUACCUAUAAGACUGGGAUAACUUCGGGAAACCGGAGCUAAUACCGGAUAAUAUAUUGAACCGCAUGGUUCAAUAGUGAAAGACGGUUUUGCUGUCACUUAUAGAUGGAUCCGCGCCGCAUUAGCUAGUUGGUAAGGUAACGGCUUACCAAGGCGACGAUGCGUAGCCGACCUGAGAGGGGGAUCGGCCACACUGGAACUGAGACACGGUCCAGACUCCUACGGGAGGCAGCAGUAGGGAAGCUUCCGCAAUGGGCGAAAGCCUGACGGAGCAACGCCGCGUGAGUGAUGAAGGUCUUCGGAUCGUAAAACUCUGUUAUGAGGGAAGAACAAAUGUGUAAGUAACUAUGCACGUCUUGACGGUACCGAAUCAGAAAGCCACGGCUAACUACGU